rnacentral:tRNA from 2 species
UGGGAUGUAGCGCAGUUUGGUAGCGCACCUCGUUCGGGACGAGGGGGUCGCAGGUUCAAAUCCUGUCAUCCCGA